rnacentral:tRNA from 1 species
UCCUGGGUGGCUCAGUCGGUUGAGCGACCGACUAUCGCUCGGGUCAUGAUUUUGCAAUUCAUGGGUUCAAGCCCCAUGUCAGGCU